rnacentral:rRNA from 1 species
CCUACGGGAGGCAGCAGUGAGGAAUAUUGGUCAAUGGGCGAGAGCCUGAACCAGCCAAGUCGCGUGAAGGAUGACUGUCUUAUGGAUUGUAAACUUCUUUUAUACGGGAAUAACAAGAGCCACGUGUGACUCCCUGCAUGUACCGUAUGAAUAAGCAUCGGCUAACUCCGUGCCAGCAGCCGCGGUAAUACGGAGGAUGCGAGCGUUAUCCGGAUUUAUUGGGUUUAAAGGGUGCGUAGGCGGCCUGUUAAGUCUGCGGUGAAAUCUAGGAGCUUAACUCCUAAAUUGCCAUUGAUACUGGCGGGCUUGAGUGUAGAUGAGGUAGGCGGAAUGCGUGGUGUAGCGGUGGAAUGCAUAGAUAUCACGCAGAACUCCGAUUGCGAAGGCAGCUUACUAAGGUACAACUGACGCUGAAGCACGAAAGCGUGGGUAUCAAACAGGAUUAGAUACCCUAGUAGUC